GCCAGCGUGGUGUAGUGGCUUGAGUGUUGGACUAGGAAUCUGGAGGCCAGGGUUUGAAUCCUGGCUUGGACA
rnacentral:tRNA from 1 species